rnacentral:rRNA from 1 species
AUUGAACGCUGGCGGCAGGCCUAACACAUGCAAGUCGAACGAGUGGCGGACGGGUGAGUAAUGUCUGGGAAACUGCCUGAUGGAGGGGGAUAACUACUGGAAACGGUAGCUAAUACCGCAUACCAUCAGAUGUGCCCAGAUGGGAUUAGCUGGUUGGUGGGGUAACGGAGCACAAAGGCGACGAUCCCUAGCUGGUCCGAGAGGAUGACCAGCCACCAUGGAACUGAUACACGGUCCAGACUCCGACGGGAGGCAGCAGUGGGGAAUAUUGCACAAUGGGCGCAAGCCUGAUGCAGCCAUGCCGCGUGUAUGAAGAAGGCCUUCGGGUUGUAAAGUACUUUCAGCGGGGAGGCGUUACCCGCAGAAGAAGCACCGGAUAACUCCGUGCCAGCAGCCGCGGUAAUUC